UCUAAUUCAGAGAGUGGAAGAAAUUGUGUGCAAAGAUGGAAGAUGGGAGUCAAUACCACGCUGUGUGGAUGCAUGAGUAAUUGAUCAGAAGAAAUCAUGUAAAACAUGAUACAAUUAUGAUGGAAAUAUGAGAAAAAAAGUUACUCUAAAGCAGAGGAUACUGUUGAAUUUAUGUGUAAACGUGGAUAUCGUAAAAAGACACCGCCCAAAACAUUUCGAGCAACCUGUCAGGAAAGGAAAUUGUUGUAUCCCACCUGUGGAUAGAGCGAUGGUUAAAAUGCAAUCAUAAAACUCACAUAUGUACAUUUAUUCAGAAUUUUUCAUUAUUAACCCAAUUCUUCUCAGUUUAUUUCUUCAAGUAUUGUUUAACUCAUUUUUACUCUUAAAUCUGAAUGUGUGUUAAAUAUUAUGUGGACGAUGUGAUUAUAAUGUGAGAGAUCAAUGAAUCACUUCUACAAGCACCUCAUUAAAACUUGGCAAAC